GGUGAUGUAGCUCAGUGGUAGAGUGCUUGCUUAGAAUGCAUGAGGCCCUGGGUUUGAUCCCAAGUACCACAG
rnacentral:tRNA from 1 species